rnacentral:lncRNA from 1 species
GUAGGCCCGUGCCCCUGCUCGCGCUGCAGCCCGUGGAAGGGUUCCGUCCAGCGUAUCCUUCAGAUCUUGCUGUAGGCCUCUGGUGUCUGUGCGCGCGCGGCAGGGGCGGCGGCGGCGACGGCCGGAGGUGUACGGUCAGCGGGUUGCGGAGGAUCGUGCGGGUCGCAAAGGGAAGCCGAGUGCUCCUGCGGCUCCCAGACUGCAACCAGGUCUGGAAGCUCCGAGUUUAUCUUGGGAACUCAAGAGGAGAGGAUCACCCAGUUCACAGGUAUUUGAGGAUACAAACCCAUUGCUGGGCUCGGCUUUAAAAGUCUUAUCUGAAAUUCCUUGUGAAACAGAGUUUCAUCAAAGCCAAUCCAAAAGGCCUAUGUAAAAAUAACCAUUCUUGCUGCACUUUAUGCAAAUAAUCAGGCCAAAUAUAAGACUACAGUUUAUUUACAAUUUGUUUUUACCAAAAAUGAGGACUAGAGAGAAAAAUGGUGCUCCAAAGCUUAUCAUACAUUUGUCAUUAAGUCCUAGUCUCAUUAAUUGUUUUCAAGCUUUUCGCCUACAUUUUAGACUAACCCUGCUUAUUCCUGUGAAUCAAGUAGUGGUCUCCUGCAGCUUGGAAGAAAAAAUAAGGGAUGGGUAAUGUAAAAAUCUGGAUCAAUAUACUGGUUCUGGGCAAUUAUCCUGCAAAUUCUGCCAGGUAAUAAAAGUGAGUAGGGUGCCCAUAAUCCGGAAGUUUCUUUGUUUAGGAAAAUAAAAACAAGGAACUUCAUAGACCCCCCCCAAAGGGGAAUUCUAUAUCUUGACAAGUAAAAUUUUAGAUGGAAAUUAUCUACAACACCACACUUACGGAAAUUGCUAUCCUCACUCUAUUAUUUGCAAAAGGGUUAUACACAGUAGCACCUUCUAACUGAAGUAUUAAACAGAGUUUCCAUUGCUGUCGUAUUUUGCUUAAUUAUUAUCCUUAUAGCAGGGAUAAUAGUUACUAACAAAAAGGAAGCAUGAAAGUUUUACUAUCACUGAGCCUGGUAGGACUUUUUAUUGGGUUUAGUGAUGCAGUUUUAAAUGAAACAUGCCGCUUUUGGAUUAAUACCUCUAGUAAAGGAAAAUUUACAGAUACUUAAAAAUCAAAUCAAAAUUAUUGAUAGGCUCAGGAAAAAUGCCAGCUUCAGCCCUGAGUGGCUACAAACCCUCUUUAAUAAAUUCCAGUCUUCUUUAUGGAAUUGGUUAACGCCUUUAUUAAGCCCUCUCUUGCUUAUAUGUCUUGUAUUGAUAUUUGGACUCUGUAUAUACAAUACUAUAACUCGAAUUGUUUCUUCUCGCCUAGAAGCAAUCAAACUCCAAAUGGUGCUGUAAACUGAACCACACAUGGACAGGCCAUUCUUCCGAGGACCCUUAGAUUGAUCCCAGGGGGAGCCCUAGCUGCUAUUCCCCAUUCAACGCCCCUUUUCAGCAGGAAGUAGCCAGAAGGAGUCGCCGCCCAAAAUCCCCUAACAGCAGUUAGUGUGGCAUCUCCACAGGAAGUAAUGUUGUAGGAGUUACUAAGAAAUUAUUUUAGGCAGAUAGAGAGGAAAAGGGGUCCUUGGGAAGUUUUCAUUUUUUAAAGCAUCUCUGGAAAAGUUUCUUGUAAAGCCCCGGCUCUUAGAGCCAGGCUGGCAACCUUUGAUAUGCAAAUGUAAGCCAUUAGAAACCAGGUCCACCCAGGCCAGGUGUGGUGGCUCACGCCUGUAAUCCCAACACUUUGGGAAGCCUAGGCAGGUGGAUCACCUGAGGUCAGGAGUUCGAGACCAGCCUGGCCAACAUGGUGAAACCCCGCCUCUAAUAAAAACACAAAAAACUAGCCAGGUGUGCUGCUGUGUGUCUGUAAUUCCAGCUACUUGGGAGGCUGAGGCAGGAGAACUGCUUGAACCCAGGAGGCAGAGGUUGCAGUGAGCUGAGAUUGCAUCAUUGCACUCCAGCCUGGGCGACAGCAAGACUCUGUAAAAAAAAAAAAAAAAAAAAAAAAAAACAGCCAGGCGUGGUAGCACGCCUGUAGUCCCAGCUACUUGGGAGGCUGAGAUGGGAGGAUCACCCUCGACUGGGGAAGUUGAGGCUGCAGUGAGCUGAAAUCGCACCACUGCACUCCAGCCUGGGUGACAGACUGAGACCCUGUCAAAUAAAUAAUGUAUGUAUGUAUAUAUGUAUGUAUGUAUGUUAACCUCAUCCCAAAACAUCCUCACAGAACAUCCAGAAUAAUGUUUGACCAAAUAUCUGGGCACCAAUGGCACAUUCAAGUUGACACAUAAAAUUAACCCUCACAAUACCGUACUGUACAACUUUUGGAGUGAAGCUGGAAUGUCAUCGCAUUUCCAAGACUAACUCAGUGUCCACAAAUGAUGCUUAAGUCAUGAGGAUCAUCUCGGAUUUGGAUUUGGAUGCCUGUCAAGCCCUCACUCUUCAGACUAAAUGUCUGAUUUGCAUGGAGAAUUAUCAAGAGAAGCAACAAUGCCAAGCAGACUAUUCCAGGUCAAAAUAGUCAAAUUAAUAAUUCAUAAAUUAUUAUAUGUUUUGAAGGUAUUGCAAAAUUAAAGUUGCAAGAACAGUACAGAUAACUUUUUUCCUGAACCAUUUGAGAGUAGGUUGCAGACCUGGUGCCCCAUCAUUUCUGAAUAUUUUAGUGUGCAUUUUCUACAAACAAGGACAUUUUCCAGCAUAACCACAAUGCACCCAUCAAUGUCGUGAAAUUAAUGUUGGUACAUUACUACCACCUAGUCCUCAGACCCUAUUCAAAUUAUACCAGUUAUCAUAAUAGUUUCUUAUAAUUUAUAGCAAAAUGAUCCAAACCAGGAGCAUGCAUUGCAUUUUUAUGAAUUUUUAAAACAAUUAAGUCUGUGUAGUGAGUGAAGCCACAGUGAUAGGAAUAUAUAAAGGCUUUGCAUCUAGAAUUUGUUCUGAAAACCCUGAGAUUCAAGUAGUACAUUAUUUCAUUUACUAUUUUACACAGAGAAGCCCUCAUUUUUAAGAGUUUGCCUUUCUGAUUUCCACCGGAAAUGAUACUAUCAGUAUCAUACUCAGAAUCUUAAUUACAUACAAGGCACUAACCUCUCACCUGUUUUCAGCUUUGUGUAAAGACAAGGGAUCAAAACAUCCCUUUCUGCUAUUUCAUACUUAAGUGUGGGAGCUGAUCCAAAGGAAGAAUAGUUUCAAAAGUUUGUAGCAAAAAAAAUUUAAAAGGUGAAGAUUUUUUCCUUGAAUGAUUCUCACCUGGCAGAUCUAUGGAAAGAUUAGCUGACUCUUUGGAUCCCUGAAUAUAGUUAAUAGAAAUUUGGAAGGACCAUGUCAAAAUUAACUAAUGUGAACUGACAAAGAUUUGGUGUUCAAAGCAAAAAUUAAACUUUGGAAAAGUGAGCAAGUACUUAAUCAGAAACAAAAAAAAAAAAAAGAAAGGAAAAGUUAGGUGAAAAUGGUUUCCAGGUGUUGUUGCUGUUAUAGUUUGAAUCAUAAAAGUUGUUAAAAGUCUGCUGUAACAAACCAUCAUAGACUGGGUGACUUAUAAAGAACAAAAAUGUAUUUCUCACAGUUCCAGAGGCUGGGAAGUCUAAGAUCAAGGCAUCAGCAGAUUCAGUGUCUGGUGAGGGCCCACUUUCUGGUUCAUAGAUGGCACCUUCUCACUGUCUCCCCACGUGAUGGAAGGGGCAAGAGGUCUCUCUUGGUACUCUUUUAUUAAGGGCACUAAUCCCAUCCAUGGGGCUCCACCUUCAUGACCUAUUCAUCUCCCAGAGGCCCUACCUGCAGAUACCAUCGUAUGGGGGAUUUGAUUUCAGCCUGUGAAUUUGGGGGAAGCGGGACAAACAUUCGUUUUGUAGCAAAAGGAGUAGAGUAAUAUCUGCCAAUAACUGGAGGAAAGAAUUGUUCUUUUAAAACUAUUAAAUUGUUUAAUGGGAUUUAAAUGAUUUCAGGAAUGAAAUGGAAAUCCUGGUAAUGGGUAGAAACAUAGGUAAAUUCUCCUUUUCCACUUACCACCACCUGUGUGAACAACAAUCAUUUCUCAUUAAUAGUCAAGAAUUUGAAGAGAUCAUGAGUAAAAAGUCUUGAUCAGAAAUUGUGUAUAGCUGUUUCCAGCAUAAAACCUUAUAUAAAAUGCAUAUUCAUAGAAGAUGCUCAAGUAUGUCAUGAAAAAUAUGAAGUUUAUUUAAAUAUUUAUACAAAUUAAAGAUUUACUGUAUUCUCUAACAGCGCGUAUUUUCUUUUUUGUAAUAACUAUAUGAAAUAAAUACAAAGUAACACGUUUUUACCAAGCCCCCUUCCCAUCCUUCUCAUCACCCUCAAACUCCCUCCAAAUAGAGUCAGAGAAACAGCCAGAGGGAUGUCUCCACUGAGACACAGGGAGGUCUUGCACCCAGGCAGUUCAGCAGUUCCUGGGCGGGUGGCCCUUCCCAUCUGAGUACCCCUCAAUGUGCCUGCUCCUCCUGGGAUCCUUUCUGCUCCCUUGGGCCUCUGUUUUUGGUCUGCAAUGGUUGGUUAUGUAGAGGGAUCAGUAUUGGGGUUGUCCCAAGCCAGGCUACAGGUUGAGCAGGUAGCCACAUAGGCCACAUAGCAGGACGGGCCCAGCUGGGGACUCUGAUGUCUGCAAUUAGGGGUGGCAGGAAGUAAUGGAUGCACAGGCGCUGACUUGGCCUGGCCUUAAGCCUUAGUCUAGCGGAAAGGUCUGGCUGUUUACCUGCCUUCCUAUUUGGAGCUGAUCCCAGGACCAAACGGGAUGCCAUCGUACCAAGGGCAGGGAGAUGAAGGGAGGCCCUCAGAAGAGAAUGAGGCCUAAAUGCCAGGUAAAGGGCAGGAAGGGGUUCAAUCCCAGCAGCACCUCCUGGUGGUAGUUGGGGAAAUAAAAUGGCCAGAGAGGAGACUGGCCCUGAAGGCAUCUCCAGAGCUUGAGUCCCUCAGUAGCCAACCUGAGCUCCUAAACCCCUCUGGACUAGGUCCCCUUCUCCACUUAACCUGCCUCCUCAAGAAAG